GUGAGUCAUCGAAUCUUUGAACGCACAUUGCGCCCCUUGGUAUUCCAUGGGGCAUGCCUGUUCGAGCGUCAUUUGCACCCUCAAGCACAGCUUGGUGUUGGGCGUUUGUCUACGGACUCGCCUAGAAUGCAUUGGCAGCCGGCCCGCAGAGCUGGAGCGCAGCACAAGUGCGCCCCGUCUGCAGUUGUCGGCACCCACAAGCCUUAUCACGCUUGACCUCGGAUCAGGUAGGGAUACCCGCUGAACUUAAGCAUAUCAAUAAGCGGAGGA
rnacentral:misc_RNA from 1 species